GACGAACGCUGGCGGCGUGCUUAACACAUGCAAGUCGAACGAAGAGCGAUGGAAGCUUGCUUCUAUCAAUCUUAGUGGCGAACGGGUGAGUAACGCGUAAUCAACCUGCCCUUCAGAGGGGGACAACAGUUGGAAACGACUGCUAAUACCGCAUACGAUCUAAUCUCGGCAUCGAGGAUAGAUGAAAGGUGGCCUCUACAUGUAAGCUAUCACUGAAGGAGGGGAUUGCGUCUGAUUAGCUAGUUGGAGGGGUAGCGGCCCACCAAGGCGAUGAUCAGUAGCCGGUCUGAGAGGAUGAACGGCCACAUUGGGACUGAGACACGGCCCAGACUCCUACGGGAGGCAGCAGUGGGGAAUCUUCCGCAAUGGACGAAAGUCUGACGGAGCAACGCCGCGUGAGUGAUGACGGCCUUCGGGUUGUAAAGCUCUGUUAAUCGGGACGAAAGGCCUUCUUGCGAAUAGUGAGAAGGAUUGACGGUACCGGAAUAGAAAGCCAC
rnacentral:rRNA from 1 species